UGGGGAAUAUUGCACAAUGGGGGAAACCCUGAUGCAGCGACGCCGCGUGAGCGAAGAAGGCUUUCGAGUCGUAAAGCUCUGUCCUAUGAGAAGAUAAUGACGGUAUCAUAGGAGGAAGCCCUGGCUAAAUACGUGCCAGCAGCCGCGGUAAUACGUAUGGGGCGAGCGUUGUCCGGAAUUAUUGGGCGUAAAGGGUACGUAGGCGGUUUUUUAAGUCAGGUGUCAAAGCGUGGAGCUUAACUCCAUUAAGCACUUGAAACUGAAAGACUUGAGUGAAGGAGAGGAAAGUGGAAUUCCUAGUGUAGCGAUGAAAUGCGUAGAUAUUAGGAGGAAUACCGGUGGCGAAGGCGACUUUCUGGACUUUUACUGACGCUCAGGUACGAAAGCGUGGGGAGCGAACAGG
rnacentral:rRNA from 1 species